rnacentral:rRNA from 1 species
UACGGAGGGGGCUAGCGUUGUUCGGAAUUACUGGGCGUAAAGCGCACGCAGGCGGUUGCGCGCGUGGGGUGUGAAUCUGGCCGCUUAACGGCCAGGCGCCAUCCCAUACGGCGCGACUGGAGCGAUGCAGAGGUCGGUGGAAUUGCCGGUGUAGUGGUGAAAUGCGUGAGAGAUCGGCAGGAACACCCAGGGGGAAACCAGCCGA